rnacentral:rRNA from 1 species
CAAUAGCGUAUAUUAAAGUUGUUGCAGUUAAAAAGCUCGUAGUUGGAUUUCUGGUGGGAGCGAUCGGUCUGGCGCUUAGCGCGAGUACUUGCAUCGUCUCCGGCCAUCCUUGGGGAGAGUCUGUCUGGCAUUAGGUUGUCGGGCAGAGGAUCCUCAUCGUUUACUGUGAAAAAAUUAGAGUGUUCAAAGCAGGCUUAUGCCGUUGAAUAUAUUAGCAUGGAAUAAUAAGAUAGGACUUUGGUACUAUUUUGUUGGUUUGCGCACCAAAGUAAUGAUUAAUAGGGACAGUUGGGGGUAUUCGUACUCCGUUGUCAGAGGUGAAAUUCUUGGAUUUACGGAAGACGAACUACUGCGAAAGCAUUUACCAAGGAUGUUUUCAUUAA